CGGGACACGUGGUAUCCUGUCUGAAUAUGGGGGGACCAUCCUCCAAGGCUAAAUACUCCUGACUGACCGAUAGUGAACCAGUACCGUGAGGGAAAGGCGAAAAGAACCCCGGCGAGGGGAGUGAAAAAGAACCUGAAACCGUGUACGUACAAGCAGUGGGAGCACGCUUAGGCGUGUGACUGCGUACCUUUUGUAUAAUGGGUCAGCGACUUAUAUUCUGUAGCAAGGUUAACCGAAUAGGGGAGCCGAAGGGAAACCGAGUCUUAACUGGGCGUUAAGUUGCAGGGUAUAGACCCGAAACCCGGUGAUCUAGCCAUGGGCAGGUUGAAGGUUGGGUAACACUAACUGGAGGACCGAACCGACUAAUGUUGAAAAAUUAGCGGAUGACUUGUGGCUGGGGGUGAAAGGCCAAUCAAACCGGGAGAUAGCUGGUUCUCCCCGAAAGCUAUUUAGGUAGCGCCUCGUGAAUUCAUCUCCGGGGGUAGAGCACUGUUUCGGCAAGGGGGUCAUCCCGACUUACCAA
rnacentral:rRNA from 1 species